AAAAAAAGACCUUCUUAAAUUUAUUUAUACUUCCGUUCAUAUAGCAAUUACAAAACUUAAUUACAUUUAUAUUUACCUUAUCAGUUUUUGACAAAACGAUUUUAAAUAAAAAAAAAAAAAAAAAAAAGAAAAAUCAUUUUUAACUUUCAAGAUGAAAUUAUGGCCAUGAUAAUAUUAUAAAAAUAUAUCCAAGAUCGCGACGGCAACCCUCUGAAAUGAACGCUUCAGAAGAAAAUUAGGAUGAAUGCGAGCUAUUAAUCGAAUACGAUCGGUCUCGAAAAGAAAUCUAAAAAAAAGAAAAUAAAAAAAAAAAAAAUAAAAAGCCUGAAGAGUAUUUGUACAACGAAG